ensembl:lncRNA
GAGAGAGAAACGGAGGAAAGAAAGGAGGAGGGGGUGAUGUAUCAAUAUUCUGAGUAGUGUUUGAGGGCGAGAAGAACGAACCGGGGAGGGGUGGAAGAGAGGCGCGGGUGCACGAAACAGUCCGAGCGGGUUUAUUCGCUCAGUGUUUGUUAGCGUGAGUCCAUUGGGGCGAGAUGAUAUCGGUAGAGGACGGAGACUCAAGUAUGUGUUUGUCUGAGAGAAGUGUUGUUCAAGUCGAAUGUGACGGAAUCUUAGCCGAAUGCUAGCCAUAACUCCACUCUCCCUCGCUCUCUUUUACUCUGUGUGCUAAUCAGCAUUUGAAAGGCAGCUUUGACAGUGAGAAAGAAAAGUGAGGGCAGUGGGGAGGAGGGAGUGUAAACGAGAAAGAAACGAGAGAGAGAGAGGGAGAGAGGGAGAGAGAGAGAGAGAGGUAGGGGCCGUACAAGCAUUUCUUUUAUAUUUACUAGCGAUUGAGGAGAAAGAGAGAGGGAGCGGGUGAAGAGACGACCGGUGCGUGCAGCUUUCCCAAGAGGAAAUGAAAAGAAAAGAAGCUCAACGAGGAAAGAGAGACAGCCAAAGCGGGGAGCACGCCAGAGAAGGAAACAGACUUGCAUCCUCUAACUCCAGUCAUAUCUGAGACGAUCCCGCUUGGAAAGUGAGGGAGGAGAGAGAGGGAGAGUGCGGUCAUCGCCACUGUGCGCCCACAAACACACAUACACACACACUCUUGUGGCAGCGGACCGCUGUGUGUUCGCCUGCUCUUUUGUGCCGGCAGCUGGGAUUGUUCUUAGCCCUGUCUGACCCCCUUGUCACCCCCCGUGUGAGUGUGUGUGUGUGGGAGCGCGAGGGGACCAGGAACGUGGACUGAGCGGAGGGGAGGGUCACCGGUUCGGGUGUCCGGACGGAGGAGGAGAGAAAUAUCUGCCUCCAAAACAGCUGGACAUGCACAUCAGUUAUCCUGGAAAGUAGGAAUUGUACAACAGGAAUUAUUUGGACACUUUUAUCACUUACUAUGGGAGCAGCCGCAAAGGAAACACACAAAAAGUGAAGAUGAAGACGCAGCCUCCAGCUCUAAGGAUUUGAGAGGAACCUUGGACUGGGAGUGAUGGGAAGCCGCCAAGGUCAGCAGCAAACCACGAGAGCCG